GAUGAACGCUGGCGGCGUGCCUAAUACAUGCAAGUCGAGCGAACAGACGAGGAGCUUGCUCCUCUGACGUUAGCGGCGGACGGGUGAGUAACACGUGGAUAACCUACCUAUAAGACUGGUAUAACUUCGGGAAACCGGAUCUAAUACCGUAUAAUAUAUUGAACCGCAUGGUUCAAUAGUGAAAGACGGUUUUGCUGUCACUUAUAGAUGGAUCCGCGCCGCAUGAGUUAGUUGGUAAGGUAACGGGUUACCAAGGCAACGAUGCGUAGCCGACCUGAGAGGGUGAUAGGCCACCUUGGAGCUGAGACACGGUCCAGACUCCUAAGGGAGGCAGCAGUAGGGAAUCUGACGCAAUGGGCGAAAGCAUGACGGAGUAACGCCGCGUGAGUGAUGGAGGUCUUCGGAUCGUAAAACUCUGUUAUUAGGGAAGAACAAAUGUGUAAGUAACUAUGCACGUCUUGACGGUAACUAAUCAGAAAGCAACGGCUAACUACGUG
rnacentral:rRNA from 1 species